rnacentral:snRNA from 1 species
GGGCCAUCUGGCCGCAGCAUCUGUCACCCCAUUGAGAUCACCAGGGUUGAUUAGGCCAUCUGAUCUGGUUGGCGAGGCCUGUGUCCCACUGCUCCAAUGUGUGUCCCUCUGGAGGCUCCGUGCUCUGUGGAAGAGGAUGACUUUUCCCUGAAUGGAGGAGGACUGGUCUUAGGUCAAGGGUACAUGAGUAGCUGUGCUCACCUGCUAGAACCUCCAAACAAGCUCAAGGUCUAUGUUUUUUUGUUUGUCUGUUUGGUUUUUGUUUUUAAUAAAAAACUUUGAUUU